AUUGUGACAAGGCCAGGGUGUACCGUGCCACUUUAUCUGUGAUUGGCAGCAGCUCACCGACGAAGGGCAAGUGCUCUGGAAAAUUGAUGGACGGAUGACUAAUGGAACAAAUACGGAGUUGCAAUGUAUUGAUUAACCUUGAGGUCCUUGGUGAUAGAACCGAGGAUGCGAGAACGCGAACAGUCUGUGCGGAGCAGCAUUUGAGUAUUAUGCAAAAGCAAAGUUGUGUCCAGCAGGGGGCAGCAGAGUACCUUUCAACCUUGGAUGUGCGCUUAGAUGUUGGAAUGUGUGUGAGAAUUCAUAUGGUCGGAGAGCACAGUUGCUAGAUAGAUAGUAAGAAGACACAGCAUCUUUCAGUGGGUCCACAAUAGCAGCUUUCAGACUUUAUGUGGCCCACAUUAAGAAGGCAUACAGUGCACUACAGUGAAGGGGUCAGAGCUCAGGGGUGAAAUGUCCUUGGAGCGACAAUUUCUUUUUUGUUGUUGUUGAUGAAGUUCUCUCUAUCUACGGGUCAUUCCAGAAUUGGAGGACAUUUUAUAGCCCAACCAUCAAAUUUUAAAUGAUCCACAUACAAAAUAUUAAAGCGUGCAGUUUCUGGGUACCGGUACAUUUACUUCUCCUGAGACCAAAUCUAAAAAUAAAUAAAUAAAUAAAAACACAGAAAAUAAUGCUUUAAAAUAGUUUUAAAAAAUACCUAAUAAACCCAGAGUACAGAAUAAAAUGCCAUUUGUCUCUUUAUUGCCCAGAAAAGUGAAAGAAUAUUUUUCAAGAAUUUUGAAGCCAAAUUGAUUCAUUAGAAUAGUAGAUAGGUCAGAUUUCCUCUUGUAGAGUUUUAUGAUGACUGGCAAGAUACUUUGAUUCUCUCCUCUUUCAUUUAGAACAGUGGUCACCAACGUUGUUACACGCGGGCACCAGGUGGCCCGUGAGGACCACACCAAUAGCCCACCAGUGCUAGGAUUGUGAUUUGCUAGUGGAAAUUAUAAUUUAAAAAUGGAAACACGGGCAAUAUUGUGAGACAUCUUUAAGAUGAUCAGAGCCUGAAAAUUAAAAUCAUUAAGUAUUAAAAAUAACACAUUCUAAUAUUAAAUGUAAUUUGUAUAAAUGUUAUUUCAGACGUGUAUCAAUUUGGUAGCCCUUCACACAAUCAGGACAUAUGAAGUAGCUCUCACUCUCAAAAACGUUGGUGACCCCUGCUCUAGAACUUCUUUAAACGACAAAGGGUAUGAGGGAAACGUGGUUAAGAUAGCACGACUCUGUCAAACUAACUAACUAACCAACUAACUAACUAACUAACUAACUAACUAACUAACUAACUAACUAACUAACUAACUAACUAACUAACUAACUAACUAACUAAUCUAGUAGAUCCAAGCAUGGGUUGACUGUCCACACUGUUUUUAGCAAGUCUCCAAAUGGAAUUUGGCCCCGUUCAGACUGGGCCACAUAACUGACCCAUCUGACAGGUUGCUGUAGCAAUGACGACGGAACAGAGGAAUCGUCCAGCACAUGUAGCGUUUGACGUCACCGCUCCGUACUUCAAUUGGCACAAGGGGUGUGCUGUUUUGUGAAUUUCGGGAAAUAGUUAUUUUUCUUGAAUAGUCUCUAUCUGAGGAGUUUGAACCACUGUUGUUGUAGUUGUUCAAAGAUUGGUGUUGAGUUGACCUUGAAGAUUUCGGCAACGGCUAGCAGCUACCUUGCCCACGCUCACGCUCACCCGAUCGAUAUAUUCUUGAUUGGUGACUUGAUGUGCACUGGGUAAAAUGAAACAGGUCCGUAGGCUGAGAAAAAAAAGUGCUUGGCUAUCGUCAAGGAGCAACAGCUAAGUUUAGCCCGGAAUCCAGAACAACUGGCUUGUCUUUCACACCCAGCGACACUCAAGUAAAUGUCCACACAGUGACAACAAAUACAUAAAAAUUAAGAAAUUACAGACAUUUAAAUUUGCAGAAAACGUCUCUGGUUGGGAGACUGAAUCCUCGAAAUAUUCCAGUAUUGGUACAAUUUGGAGUGCAACCACAGUUGUCUGAAAAAAUAUGAAAUCUGUUUGCGCAUCACCCGUGAAUGUUCCGAGAAGCACUUUACGUGUGCUCCAAACUCUGAUUGUAUGGGAAAAAAAUGAUAAAUUGUCUUAUUUAAUACAAAUCUGUAUACAGAUAUGUUAUGAAUGCCCGUUCACAGAGGGAAUGAUGCAUUAAAACGAUUAAAGUGCAAGGAGAGAGCAAAACGUGAACAUGUUCUCAUUUUUCUGCUUUGCUAAGAUCUGCCUUGGGAGAUCGACAGCUUCAUACACACCAAAAUAAACAAGAACAGCAGGCGAUAAGAAAAACAACAGUGGGGAGUCAGCUGCUAAGCAUGCAAGAUGUCAUGAUACAUGAAUAUACUUGCGAAAACACACAGAGCGGCUGGAUAGAUAGUUUGGGUAGAUCAUUCAUACUCGUAGGUCAUAGCAGGACAGUGAAGGUGAUAAUAUAGCGUUUCUUGAGAUCAAAAAUGUUGAUGACAUGCUGGCUACAUGUGGUGAUUAUCCUCAGUGUGCACAAACACCGUUUAAUGUGUCAUUCUUAAACCUCGACACUGGAUAUUACUAUUGCGUUUAGAUAAAAUUCUACUCUUAAUCAUAAAUAAAAAAUUGAGUAACUAGCUAGUAGAUCGAAUGGUGAACCCUAGUUACUAGCUAAAAUGCUAUCUCUUUACAAAUUGUCUCUACUAGUUAUUUUUCCAACAUCAGAUGAUAGGUUGGAGGAUGAUCUAUACCAUACUGAAAAAGAAAAAUAAAUAUUAAAAAAGACAGGGACGCACAGAUUUGUACUAUAAUUUGCUACUUGCGUUGAACCAUGUGGUUUUUAAUGUCAUGCGAUUUAUUGAUGGAUUUUUACUGACAAGAUCCACGCUAUCAGUAGAAUUAGCCUCCACACUUCUGAACAAUCGAUCUCUCUCUUUCUCUUCAUUCCCCCUGCC